UUCAUUCGCGAACGGGGCAUCGUUAGUUCCAAUUAUAAACAGCUGGCAGAAUAUAGUCACACGAGUUUACUGACUUCUUUAUUGAACUUUUCCGACCAUAGUGACAGAAAGUGAAGUAAAUAUAAAGAUGCCGACACCCAUAUUAUUGUAAAGUCUUAUCACAGUUGUCCAAAUAGAGGCGCGAGUUCACUCGUCAAUUAAUCGACACAAGAAGGAAAGAGUCACAACACUAAACUGAUGAAAGCGGCUGAGCUGGAGGACCUCAAACCUGCAGAUGCCACACAACUCACACAGUGUCUCCGCAUCUACCCUCGAGAAGGCAUUGAACAAGUCUCUCCUUCUGUGUCCUUUGGGUGGCGCUGUGGUACAGGACAGCAUGUAUCGCUCAAUAAAUCAGGAUGAAGAACGGAACAGCUUGGGAUGCAGGAGUGUUUGUAGGCAGCUCCUCUGCAUAUAAAUUGUGUCUUCAUGUCACAGUAUGAACUCAGACUCAGAAAUGUAGGCCAUGCUUUAGAUGAUUCAUGCAAGAUCUCUCAGCGUUCUGCCCACAGGAUCUCUCGAGUCGGCAGUAAAUCCUCAUAAAUAUAGCACUCAGAACGUCAUCCCUGACCUGAAGUUGAAGAGAGAGAGUUGGAUCUGCGCUGAGGUUUAGCGGUCUGUGAAGGUGGGGAUUUGAAGAUGACGUAGGUGUGAAAAUAUUCAGGUUCAUGAGUUUGUCCUAGCCCCAUCACAGGUGCCAGUGCCACAACGGACCAUAUGUUUCAAGGUCAAAUGAACGGUGACCACACCUCACUGCAACAUCAACACUGCUGACAAUCCUGCGUAGCUUGCAGAGAGAGUCUCAAAAAUCAUUACACCAUCACUCCUCUGUCCAGGAUCAGCCUUUUAAUAUGCAAGCAUGAGGUUAAAGCAGAUAAAUUGUGACCCCAGACCUUACAGUUGCUUUGAGCUGCUGGGAAAACACAACUGCUUUGAGUGAGCAUUUGCAUUGGCUCUCCAAGGGUUACAACACUGUAACCACACAUUUACAUGUUACAUGAGGCUGUUACAGCUUGUAUGCAAAGUAUGUGACUGUCUGCGACAGUUCUACAGUUCAGUAAGCACAUGAGCCAGGUGAUAAUAAAAAUAAUGCAUUUGUCAAAAUUAUGGAACUGAACACAACAACUUUACAUUUUUGCUAGCUUUUUUUCAUUUUGCUAGUAUGCUUUAGAAAAAUAUGCCACAUUUUCCAGUAAAAUCUUGUGAAUAUUUUACAUUUUUAGCUAUCAAAACUGAAAUCGACACUAUAUUUGGCAAUGUUUUACAUAAACAUGACACU